UACGGGGGGGGCAAGCGUUGUUCGGAAUUACUGGGCGUAAAGGGCUCGUAGGCGGCCAACUAAGUCAGACGUGAAAUCCCCAGGCUCGACCUGGGAACUGCGUCUGAUACUGGAUGGCUUGAAUCCGGGAGAGGGAUGCAGAAUUCCAGGUGUAGCGGUGAAAUGCGUAGAUAUCUGGAGGAAUACCGGUGGCGAAGGCGGCAUCCUGGACCGGCAUUGACGCUGAGGAGCGAAAGCCAGGGGAGCAAACGGG
rnacentral:rRNA from 1 species